AUCAGAUCUCCAGUAUCUUUUGGUUAUUACAUUCAGACCUUAUGAGGCUAGGGUUACAGCUGUAAAGAGAAUCCACGAAGUACGAGAAGGGAGGAAGAGAGAAUAAUGAAAACAAACCCCUGCUUCAUGGGAGUCAUUUCAGGUAUGAAUAUUUACAUUAACUGUGUAUUUGCCUUUUCAUGUAUUUUUUUAAUUUCAGAUCUCUGCUUCUCUCCUUUGUUUUUUCUCUUGGUUUUUUGUUUUUCAUAUUUGUUGAUGUUUGCAGAUCAGAUUUCCAGUAUCUUUUGGUUAUUACAUUCAGACCUUUAUGAGGCUAGGGUUAUAACUGUAAAGAGAAUCCACGAAGUACGAGAAGGGAGGAAGAGAGAAUAAAAGAAAACAAACCCUUGCUUCAUGGGAGUCAUUUUAGGUAUGAAUAUUUACAUUAACUGUGUAUUUGCCUUAUCAUGUAUUUUUUUAAUUUCAGAUCUCUGCUUCUCUCCUUUGUUUUUUCUGUUGGUUUUUGGUUUUUCAUCUUUAGAAUAUGUUUGUCUCUACUUUUUCAUCUCUAUUUUAAUUCUCAGAUCAAUGCUUCUCUCUUUGUUUUUCAGUUUGCUUUUGUUUGAGUUUUUGGUUCUCUUUGUCUUUACUUUUUCAUCUCUAUUUAGAUGGGGCGGUUUCGUGGUUUUUGGAUCUGGUUCGUGUUUUUUUUUGUUCUGGGCCUAUUUUUCCUUUAUUUCUAACGUUCCUUUCUCCUUAAUAGCUACUCUUUUUCCCUUUACCAAUAUUUUCCUUCUCUUGUUUUUUCUUCUCUUAGCCUCUUUUCCUGUGUUUUCUUCAAUCUAUAGCUCUCCCAUUCAUUAGCCCUUUCUCUCUCUCUCAAUAUCCUUUCAAUUUUUUCCUCGAAAUUUUUAGCUUCGGGUAAAUUACGAAACCAAUUACCCUACCCCUCUAAAUAUUUUAUCUUACUGAUAAAAAUAACAUAAAAUAUUAUAAUAUUGUUAUGCUGUAAAAUAAAAACCCGAAGUUUUUGUCCGUUAAAGCAAGAUCCAUUGUCAUUAGCUUCUUUCUCUCUCUCGAAAAAGGAAAAGAAAAGGUUUGAAUUCAUGAAUCAGCGGAAGCUUCUUCCUAAUGAGAGAGUCGAGGUAGUGAUCUUUUUAGGUAUAAAUUUUGGUUCUUUUAAAAAAUUCUUGUUUUUUCUUCACCUUUUAUUAUUCUGUUUGGUUUCUGAUUGAAGAAAAUCGAGGGAAAUUUGUUUCAAACUUGCAAUUAGUCUUUGUUUUUUUAAAAUAAUUACUGAUCCACCUGUGAGUGGGCAAAUUCUGUUCAUUCUUCUUUUUCGGAAAUUUUGUUCUCUUACUGAAUUACUUAAAAAAUACAUGCCUUUCGGUUGAUCCCUUGAUAGAAGCUUCGAUUUGUCUUGUUUCACUGCUUUCAUUUGAUUUUUGAAGAAGUUAAGGUUGCAAAUUUGAAAUUAAUUUUCCCUCAUUUUCCGAGUAACCAAUCGUAAGCUUAUUUUAUCUUGCAAAUUAGUGAUUCCGGAAUCAUUUGUAACUCUUGUUAGACAAGGUUUAAUAGAGAACCGAACUCAUUUGAAUUCCGUAAAUCUUCUGGAGUGCAAUGCCUUGACUAUUAAAUUAAUUUGGAUAUAGAUAAUUUCCAAAACUCAAUUUUGAUACCGAACCUGUUAGUUUGGUCAUGUAAGUUUUCCGAUUUCCCCAUUAUUCAAUUUCGAACGUCUUUUAUAAUUCUCUCUGUUAAUUUCCCCAAAAUAGUAGUAGUGAUUUAAAGAAGGUUAUAAUUACCAUAAAUAAUAUCGUUGCAUUAUUCAUAAUCUGAACCUGCUUUUAUGUUAUUUGGACAAUUCUUUGGAUUUUUCUGUGUAGUCGUAAAGAAUUUUUUAUCCGGUACAGAUUUUUAUCUGUCCUGUUGUAGUUAAUUUACUUUCUUAUUCUGCUCCGACUUUAUUCCUGUCAUAUACCUUCUCUGAAUAAGCUAUUCCCAGAAUAGACUAUAUUUUCUCAUUCUGGUUCACAAUUUUUAGCCUCCGUUUUAAGAGUUUUAACAGCUAGUUCAGAUUUUUUUCUUAUCUGGAUCGAUCUAUGUGAUAUACUUAUUCCACUCAGGGAUAUCCCAUUCUACGGAUAGCCCAGUUUGGUUGUUUCCCAUACAGGUGGAACCCGGCUUGGGUAUAUCCCAUUCUCUUAAUAUCCCGUUUCGGGUUUUUAUGUUAUUGAUUAUAAUUAUUUGGAUUUUUUCUGUUUCGUCGUAAAAAAUGUUAAUGAAAAAGUAGAUUUGUAAUGCACAAUAUAUUCUACAUCGUAUUUUCGUAUUCUCUCAAAGAAUAUAAUAUUUUCUCUUGUCGAAAUAUAAAGAAUGGAAGACUAUUUUUUGCUAUCAUUUGCCUGAAUAACAUCUUCAUUAGUUGCUUUCUCUCUUUUAAUUUCAGGUUUAUGUUUUUUUACUUGUGUUUUUUGUUUAGAAAUUCCUGUUUUGCUAUGUGUUUAAAAUUUUAUGGAUGUGGUCUGUGAGUUACCUUUUUUGUUGUUUUAUGUUGUUUAUCACGAUUUUCUAAAUAAGAGGACCUAAAUUAAAAACACAUAGUCGUUUAAAAAAAAUGGCAGAUACAUGAACAAAUAUUAUAUGAAAAUUAUUGUUUUCCCAAUAAAGUUGUCAAUAACCAAAACGCUCUUUUUAUAAACUCCUUAAUAUUAAGGGGUAAACCAGGUCGAAUCCAAUGAGUGAGUCGAGGUAGUGCUAGUCUUUCUUUUAAGCUAUAAAUUUUGAUUCUUAUAAAAAAUAUUGUUUUUUCUUCAUCUCAUUUUAUUCUGUUUGGUUCCUGAUUGAAGAAAAUCGAGGGAAAUUUGUUUAAAACUCGACAUUAGUUGUUUUUCUUAAAAAAAAUAAUUCCUGAUUCACCUGUGAGUUGGCAAAUUCUGUUCAUCCUGCAUUUUCCCGGAAGCCAAACAUGAGACUUAAAUGUUUUUUAUUUCGAAAAUUUUGUUCUCUGACCGAAGUAUUGAAAAAAUACAUGUCUUUCAGUUGAUCCCUUAACUUUUGUUUCUAUUUUGUGCGUUCUUUUAAAUCCCUUAACUUUUGUCUUUUUUUUCAUCUGUUUUUUAGUUUCUGGUCUAUUCUCCUUUACUUGAAUUUGCAGUGGGUUUUUGUUAGAAAUUUCGGUUUUUUAGCUUUAGAGAAAAUAUGGAUCAUGGUGGGGUCUAACUUCUUGUAUUAAGUUUUUUAUUUUUUGUACUGAUUGGGCUUGAUUUUUUGUUUGUGUCACGCAUUGAUUUCGGCUCAUGUAAUGCUUUUGUUUGGGUCUCGUAUUGGGCUAAUGUUAUAGCUUAGGUUUUUGUCUUCGUUAUUCAUUGAUUUUGGCUCAUGUUAUGCUUUAGUUUGGGUCUCGGAUUGGGCUAAUGUUAUAGCUUAGGUUUGGCUUUUUCUCUGGCCUUGCGUCUGUGUCUGUCCUGUUAGGUUCGGUUUGGGUGGGCUUGGUUAGACUGGGUAGUUUUCUUUUCGGCUUUUGGUUUGUCGGCUCUUGAAUAGUUUGUUUAUGGAAUAGGCUGGUUCGAACAUAAGCUGGCUCGGGAAUAGGCCGGUUUUGGAAUAGUCUGGUUUGGUUAACUUUAGAGUCAGGUUCAUCAUUUGAGGUAAGGUUUUUUUGGGACUGAGUCACGCUUAGGUUUCGACUUAUCAAUUAUAUUUUUGUCAUUAUAGUUCCUUUUCCAAAUAAUAUGACACUAGUUCCAUUUUGUUUCUUUCCAUGUUUCAAAUCUAUGGAUCUCAUUCUGUUUGUUCUAUUUGUUUGUUUCCUGUGUACUUUCGUGAGAUAGAUACCUAAUUUUUCUCUUCCUGUAUAUGCAUAUUGCGAUGAAAACCAAGAAUGAAUGGUUCAAUCAGAGCGAGUUUAGGGUUUGGUGAGUGUCAAAGCUUAGGCUCCCAAAGUGUGGAAAAUCGUUGUUAAUUGUAUAAGUGUAAAAAAUCUUUUCUUGUUAAUUGUAUAAGUUUUGGGUUGUAGAUUAAAAAGGAAUCUGUAGGAUCAUGGGGCUAGACGUUUGUACGCAUGAUGGCGUAUGUUAUUCUUUUUCCUACAUGUAGACUAUAUGAUAAAGAACAUUUCUAACUCAAGAUAUUAGAAAAUAAGGCAGGUAAAGAAAUUAAGGCUGCUUGGGGGCAUCUAAUGUAUCAUCAUUCUAGAAAAUAAGGCAAGUAAAGAAAUUAAGGCUGCUUGGGGGCAUCUAAUGUAUCAUCAUUCUUCAGCAGCUGUUCAUAGAAUUUGAACACUAAGUUCAACAUAGACUUGAGCUCGGCUUGAUACUUUUCUAUAUAUAUAUUAUAUUAUUUUAUGUUAUUUUUAUAUAUUAAAUAAUUUUUAAAUUAUAAAAAUUAAAUCUAUAGUAAUUAAUAAUAUUAUAAUGAAAGCAUACUAUAAAAAUUGUUAAAUUAUCUAUAUAUGUUAAAAAUUGAUAUAAGUAGGCCUAAAAUAGUUUGUGUUAAAUCAUUUACAAACAUAGAUAAGCUUAGGUAAUAUGUUAAGUCUAUAUUUUGGAUCAAGCUUAGAGUAAACAUAAAGUGUAUUAAUAUUUUGUUUAAGUUCAACCUAACCCAUAACACCUCUACGUGAAAGUAUAAUUCAAUUUAUAUCAUUUUUAAUAUUAAUCCAUAUGAAAUUAAAUUGACAUACAUGUUAAAACCAUGAAUAAGGCCAUUUUAAAAUGUAUUUAGGUAUAUGAACUUAAAUAAAAAGAGCCAAGCUAAUUUAUAUUAACAUUUUUACACUUUUAAUUAUGAUAUAACUUUAAUCAUUAUUGCUUUUAAAUAAAUAUGGUGUUUGAAAAAUUUUCAUUCAAAUAUUUUGGCCAGUUCUAACUUUUGAAAAGUGCUUAUGAGAAGUGCUUGGGAAAAGUGUUUUUGAAAAAUUUGAGUGUUUGGCAUUGCUGUCAAAAAGUACUUUUGAAAAAUAAAAUGUUUAUUUUAGACAUAAUAUAAUAAAGUAACGAAUAUGUAUUUAAAUAAUAUUCAAAUUAGUUAAUAUUAUGUUAUUUUAACGAAAAUAUAAAAAAAUAAUUUAUUAUAACUUAUUGUUAACAUUUUAAUAUAUAAUAUUAAUUUUAAAUAAUUCUAAGUAAUUAAUAUUAAUUAUUUAUUAAAUUUAAUUAGAAUAUAUAAACUAUAUUUAAAUAUAAAAAUUAAAUAUUUGUAAUUAGAUAUUGACACAAUUGUAUUAUUAUAAAAUUAUUUUUAAUUAAUGCUUUAACACAUUUGUAUUAUUUUAUUUUAAAAUGUAUUUGAAUAUAUAAUUCAUAUUAUAUAUUAACAUAACAUAGAAAAUAUAAACCUAACAAAUUAAAAUAUUACAUAUAUUUGAAUUAAAGUUUCAGAAAGGGUGAUUUUCAUGGCAAAAUACCAAAUAUAAAACAUUAACCAACCGAAAAUUCUGAUUGAAAUUCUUACUAGACAAAAGGAUGAUUUUCAUGGCAAAAUAUUAUUGUGUGAGGUUGCAUGCUUUAUUUGGAGCUGCAAUGACUGCAGGGUUGGUCUUAGCACUUGGUUUCUAUAAAAAUGUUAUUUUUAGGUAAUGACUUAACACAAUAUCAAAGUGCUGGGACUAACAUGGAUCAAAUUUUUUUUUGAAACUAAAUUAAAAAAAUUACCAAAUUUAAGGAUUAAGGCUAAAAUGGCAAUAACUUCUCAACCUUAGGUUUGUAUAUUUGUAAUUAAAAGUUGAAAUAAAUUUCUUCUUCAUUGAAACCUUGGAAUAUCAACAAAAAGAAAGUGAAAUUGGAGUGUUAUUUGAACCAAAAGGUAGCUUUCUCCACGGUACUUUCAUCACUUAAGCAUGUCUUUUGGGAAGAAAAUAAAGUAUGCAUAAGCAUGUCUUUCGGGAAAGAAAAAAAUGUGCUGAUAUACCAUCUCGACUUGAAAGUAACUUUUGGUUUGACUCUUCUACUACUUAAGCCCUUCAACCCCCACACCACAAAACCAAAUUCUUUCAAGCAUCUGUCAUAGCCAUUUCAUUUUCAUGAAUAGAAGCAUAAAAAAGUUCAUCCAUCUAAACUAUCUCAACGACACGACGUGACUUCGAAAAAAAAAAUACUUAUUAUUAAGUCAAAAUACAAUACAAUGAUUUUAUCUUAUAAUAAAUAAUAAUAGUAAUUAUCACCAAGAGAGACUGCUGCAUAUGUAUGCCUGUAAGUAAGAAGAAUCUUCCAACUAUAUUAGAGGUUUUUGGUUAAAAUAAUUGGCUCGUUUCAUUCUAGUACCGUUAAAGGGCGACAUACUAGGGCUCAUAGUCGGGCUCAUUCUCGGACUCUCUUCCCUUAAUGUACCAUUUAGUAAAGCCAACUCCCUAAGCUGUUGUUUCUUAUAAUUAUCCAAGGAUUCAUCCUGAAGAAUGGUAGAGAUGGAGGACCUGAAACAUAUACAAAAAAAGGAAAGACUAACUUUAAAAACAACAAUAAAAUUUUGCUUUUGUUCAUACCACAGGUUUCAGAAGAUUUUCUAGUAUGGCAACAGCAUAGUCCAAACUAGAAUUUAUCACAUCUUCAGGAAGUUCAGCCUCCACCAACACAUUCAAUGGCUCAUUAAGGUGUUCGAAUCCGGGUUUAUCUUUUAGUUUCUCUUCCUACAUGUUAAAAAUGGGUAAGCAGUCAAUAAAUAACAAGUGAUUUUGCAUAACUGUUUUUUAUUAGGUCAGACCUUGAUUUUGCAUAACUGUUUUUUUCACAAUGUACUUUUCUUAGUAAAAGUGAUCAUUUCAUUGAUCAUAAUACUGAAAGUUCUUCAUAAAGCAUGUGAAAUGCAAAUGGAGAUGCAUAUGAUCAGAGCAUAUAUAAGAUUAGCCGAGUAAUUUUUGCAUCACCUACAGUCCAAUAUGGCCUUGUAUUGGGAGGAGAGAUGAAAAAAUGAAUAUCAUAAAAGAAUUUACAGUUGACUUUACCUUAACAGAAUCCUUGACAGAACCUUUGCCUCUUAUGUACACCCUACACUCAGUCACAGAUUCAACUCUCUUUAGGGAGUUUCCUCGUGGUCCCAAUAUUCGACCAACAAAAUUAUACUACAAAGGGUGAGAGUCAGUAAUAUUAUCUUAAAAGAACAAGAAAACUUCACUCGAGGUUUCAACUUUACUUACACUAGGAUAUUGAUCCACAGGUACAUUGAGUCUAACAACUUUCUUUACAAGCGGUAUUGUUGGAGCUCCUGGCAAACCAGGCCAACUCAUUGUAGAUGCCCAUUUUCCUGAAACAGAUAAUCAGGUCAAAGAAAUUUCCUUUUCCUUUUCAGUGAACAUUGAUGAGAAGAGAAUUUUGUAUCAUAUUGGGGGCUGAUAACAAGGCACUUAUAUUCAUUAACCUCGUAAGAACUUACAAACUCUUUUUGGCCAUUUGUUAGGAGGGGAAGGGAGAGUAGUAGUAAAAACAAACAAGUCUUUUGUGACUGCACCAAUGGCUUAGUUAACAACAAUUAAAUGCUUUUAAAUGAUAAAAUACAUAAACAUUAUAUGGCAUCACCUCUGUUUGCAUUAUGGACCAUCCUUCCAAAUCCAUUUGUCUUCCACUGGGAUGAUGACCAAAUGACCUAAUAGGAAUAUCAUGCUCAAAUCUCUCAUGAUCCAAUAAACUCGGACUAAAACCUGAGACCCUUCUGAUCUCUGCAAUGCAAAAGGGUUUAAAAUGGAAAAGUUAGUUGGUAUAUUGUCCAAAUUACAUGCUUUAGUAGAACUCUCUAGGUUCUACUUGGUACAAAGGAUGGAAAGGUGCGAUAAUGGAAAAUUUGUUAAUUGAAUGGUUAAGCUACAAGUAGGAAAGUUAUUACGAAUCUUAACCAUUUGAUUAACAAAUUUUCUAUCCUUCCUAACAAGCAAAGCCUUAAAACCACACUUAAAAUCUGGAUUAUGCCACUCCACUAAUAUGGAGGUUUAAAGUUUUAAUUCAUUCAAGAAUUACUCGAUAAUCAAUUGAACCCUUACUAGUUUAAAUCAUUAGUGUUUCAUACUUGUAUACACGUGAUUGAAUCUUUAUAUUGCAGGAUAAAGAAAAGGAAAACAGAAGAUUCAAUAACCUUGAUUAAGAAGCCUGGUGCAUUGAGGAAGAACUUGUGUGAAAGGUCCCAGC
rnacentral:lncRNA from 1 species